rnacentral:rRNA from 1 species
AUUGAACGCUGGCGGUAUGCUUAACACAUGCAAGUCGAACGGUAACAGCAGGAGCUUGCUCUUGGCUGACGAGUGGCGGACGGGUGAGUAAUGCAUAGGAAUCUGCCUAUUAGUGGGGGACAACAUGUGGAAACGCAUGCUAAUACCGCAUACGCCCUACGGGGGAAAGCGGGGGAUCUUCGGACCUCGCGCUAAUAGAUGAGCCUAUGUCAGAUUAGCUAGUUGGUAGGGUAAAGGCCUACCAAGGCGACGAUCUGUAGCUGGUCUGAGAGGAUGAUCAGCCACACUGGAACUGAGACACGGUCCGGACUCCUACGGGAGGCAGCAGUGGGGAAUAUUGGACAAUGGACGAAAGUCUGAUCCAGCAAUACCGCGUGUGUGAAGAAGGCCUGAGGGUUGUAAAGCACUUUCAGUGGGGAAGAUAAUGACGUUACCCACAGAAGAAGCACCGGCUAACUCCGUGCCAGCAGCCGCGGUAAUACGGAGGGUGCAAGCGUUAAUCGGAAUUACUGGGCGUAAAGCGCGCGUAGGCGGCUAGAUAAGUCGGAUGUGAAAUCCCUGGGCUCAACCUAGGAACUGCAUUCGAAACUGUCUAGCUAGAGUUUUGGAGAGGUAAGUGGAAUUUCCGGUGUAGCGGUGAAAUGCAUAGAGAUCGGAAGGAACACCAGUGGCGAAGGCGACUUACUGGCCAAAAACUGACGCUGAGGUGCGAAAGCGUGGGUAGCGAACAGGAUUAGAUACCCUGGUAGUCCACGCCGUAAACGAUGUCAACUAGUCGUUGGUUCCCUUGAGGAAUUAGUGACGCAGCUAACGCAAUAAGUUGACCGCCUGGGGAGUACGCACGCAAGUGUAAAACUCAAAGGAAUUGACGG